rnacentral:piRNA from 1 species
UAGAGAGUGGUGGAUCCCUUCA